AUUGAACGCUGGCGGCAUGCCUUACACAUGCAAGUCGAACGGUAACAGGUCUUCGGAUGCUGACGAGUGGCGAGCGGGUGAGUAAUACAUCGGAACGUGCCCGAGAGUGGGGGAUAACGAGGCGAAAGCUUUGCUAAUACCGCAUACGAUCUCAGGAUGAAAGCAGGGGACCGCAAGGCCUUGCGCUCACGGAGCGGCCGAUGGCAGAUUAGGUAGUUGGUGGGAUAAAAGCUUACCAAGCCGACGAUCUGUAGCUGGUCUGAGAGGACGACCAGCCACACUGGGACUGAGACACGGCCCAGACUCCGACGGGAGGCAGCAGUGGGGAAUUUUGGACAAUGGGCGCAAGCCUGAUCCAGCCAUGCCGCGUGCAGGAUGAAGGCCUUCGGGUUGUAAACUGCUUUUGUACGGAACGAAAAGACUCUGGUUAAUACCUGGGGUCCAUGACGGUACCAUAAGAAUAAGCACCGGCUAACUACGUGCCAGCCGCCGCCGUAAUAC
rnacentral:rRNA from 1 species